rnacentral:rRNA from 1 species
CAUCGCCUCUUGUCCAACAUAAAUAAAGGUACCGCCUGCCCUGUGACCAUGUGUUUAACGGCCGCGGUAUUUUGACCGUGCAAAGGUAGCGCAAUCACUUGUCUUUUAAAUGAAGACCUGUAUGAAUGGCACGACGAGGGCUUAACUGUCUCCUUUCUCCAGUCAAUGAAAUUGAUCCCCCCGUGCAGAAGCGGGGAUAAGCCCAUAAGACGAGAAGACCCUAUGGAGCUUCAGACGCAAGAACAGACCAUGUUAAACACCCCCACACAACGGACAAAACUAAUUGGUCACUGCUCUAAUGUCUUUGGUUGGGGCGACCGCGGGGAAACAAAAAACCCCCAUGUGGACUAAAGGCACAAUACCCUUACAACCAAGAGCCACAGCUCUAAGUAACAGAAACUCUGACCUCUAAGAUCCGGCUUCAGCCGAUCAACGAACCGAGUUACCCUAGGGAUAACAGCGCAAUCCCCUUCUAGAGCCCAUAUCGACAAGGGGGUUUACGACCUCGAUGUUGGAUCAGGACAUCCUAAUGGUGCAGCCGCUAUUAAGGGUUCGUUUGUUCAACGAUUAAAGUCCUACGUGAUCUGAGUUCAGACCGGA